rnacentral:rRNA from 1 species
UCAAAGAUUAAGCCAUGCAUGUCUAAGUAUAAGCAAACUAUACCGUGAAACUGCGAAUGGCUCAUUAUAUCAGUUAUCGUUUAUUUGAUAGUACCUUACUACUUGGAUACCUGUGGUAAUUCUAGAGCUAAUACAUGCUAAAAACCUCGACUUCGGAAGGGGUGUAUUUAUUAGAUAAAAAACCAAUGCCCUUCGGGGCUCCUUGGUGAUUCAUAAUAACUUAAUGAAUCGCAUGGCCUUGCGCCGGCGAUGGUUCAUUCAAAUUUCUGCCCUAUCAACUUUCAAUCGUAGUAUAGAGGACUACGAUGGUUUCUACGGGUAGUUACUGUUGCCCGUAGCAAACACGUCCGGACCCCUCAGGGAUCUCGGCAACACCACUGGUUUGGAAGAUACAAUGUUGAUUCCGGGGCGGUCCUGCAGUAGACCGCCCGAACGCAUGCAAAGUGGUGGGCCCCUUUCGGGAGGUUUUUGGUACAUGCUGCCCCUGUGGCCGUUGCGUUUCAGGGGGUACAUGAACGGGGAAUUAGGGUUCUAUUCCGGAGAGGGAGCCUGAGAAACGGCUACCACAUCCAAGGAAGGCAGCAGGCGCGCAAAUUACCCAAUCCCGACACGGGGAGGUAGUGACAAUAAAUACUGUAAGGACUUCUGACCGCAAUAUAGGUCGAACGUGUGCUAACAAAUUUUAUAGGAUGCAGAGCUCUUUUGGGUUUUGCAAUUGGAAUGAGUACAAUCUAAAUCCCUUAACGAGGAACAAUUGGAGGGCAAGUCUGGUGCCAGCAGCCGCGGUAAUUCCAGCUCCAAUAGCGUAUAUUAAAGUUGUUGCAGUUAAAAAGCUCGUAGUUGAAACUUGGGCCUGGCUGUCCGGUCCGCCUCACCGCGUGCACUGGUUCGGCCGGGCCUUUCCUUCUGGGGAUGCGCAUGGACUUAACUGUCUGUGUUGUGGAACCAGGACUUUUACUUUGAAAAAAUUAGAGUGUUCAAAGCAGGCAUAUGCUCGAAUACAUUAGCAUGGAAUAAUAGAAU